UCGAUCCCCUCGAGGACACAACGCCGCCCUCGUGCGAUCUCGAGGUCACAGCGCCGCCUCCCCUCGAUCGCCAACUCCGACGUACGAUCUUGCCGCCGCUGACCUCCCAGAGGAGACGUCGCCCGCGGACGUCCGGGAUCGCCGCCGCGGACUUAAGGGAUCAACGUCGUCGACCUCCCAGAGGAGACGCCGCCGCCGCCGACCUCUGAAGGGAGAUGCCGCCGCCACCUCCGCUAAACCCUAGGCAUCCACCACCGUGAUCCCGCCGUAGGGUUCCGCCUGCGUUCACCACCAUGCGAUCGACUUCCUCCCUCAGCUCCUUUUCUCUACGCUCUGUCAGGCUGCAACAGCCUAAGUUUCUAUUUUCUAUCUUGGCUCCAAUGGCAGUAGUAGGAUGCUCAUUGGCAACCCAAGGUGUGUAUGCCCCUACUUCCCCAAGAUGUAUGCUGCUGUGAGGCAUGUAGCACCACUUCUCCUGACUGCUAUAAUCAGUGGAAGAUCUCAUGACAUGAUAGGCGUCAUGGUCUCAUGGAAUGGACAUCAUGGGGCUUAUUAGGAACUCUGAGUUCAGGGGCACCAUGCCGAAAGAGGUCAAUCUCUUCCAAUACACAAUCGCUGAGGUAUGUAUCAAUGUCUAAAGGUUAAAAAAGACCCAGGUUACACCAUAUGGUUUAGGUUGCUCACCUUGGUGGCUGACUAGGCGUUCAAAAAUCUUAGUGAGAGUAUAAAGGACAUUGUUGAUGGUGCAAUAAUGGAACACAACAAGUUGUGUGUGUGUGUGUGUGUGUGUGUGUGUGUGUGUGUGUGUGUGUGUGUGUGUGUGUCGCACGACCUGGGAGUCUACAUCUAAGAGUUCCUUUCAAUUUUCUAUCAGAAACAUUUCUUUAUAAAAGUUCUGUUGGACACUUAUCUUCUCUUUACUUAUCGUUUCGUGGGACUACGAAAAAGUUCAUCUGUGUGUAACUACAGGGUUCUCGAAGUCCGCCCUCUCAUUGACAGGGUGAAAGUUGUGGAAUUUUUGCUUUAACUGCUGGAGUAAGAUGACAGGACAUACAAAGGUGCAUUCAAGUUGAAGAUUCAAAGUUGCAAGGCAAGCACAGUUAACAGGGAUAAGAAACUAUAGAAGAUUUAUCAAACCAGAUAUGGGCUUGCUUAUGCACUGAAUCAUUGUGGAGGAUCUCAGGUAAUUAGGCCAUACACCCAAAAUUAAAUUUUACUUGCUUUUAAAUGUUUAGGGGGCAGAUGAUGUUUCAUAUGCUAGACUGAAGUACGCACCUUUUAAGAGUAUCACUGAUACUCCAGUCACCCAUAAAAAUGGAAGUACUGGAAAUUAGUUUGUAAGGAAAAUAACUAAAUAGUGAGUCCGAGCAAACCUACUGCCUAGAUUACAUGAGAUCAUUUUAGCUGUAAGUGUUUCUUUUAUCUUUUUUUACAUUCUGGUAAACAUGUGGGUGAAUAACUGUUAGAAAUUGUUCUGUAUGUACACGUGCAUUCUACUAGAACUGAUGCUUGAAAGAAUAAAAAGUUCUAUAAUAUUUGUAAGCCAAGCAGUGGAAAAGCUCACUCCUCACAGUAGAUUACCAUCGUCUACGUAUCUGCUUUGUCCAAGCAGAGUCCACAGGUUUACUCAUGUCAUCUGUUUUUUGUUGUUUGAGGGAAGGUUUGUUAGGAAGCCCAUCUCUUCUGCAGCAAGCCCUGCAGAAAGAGAGCUAGAUAUAAUGGUACUUGCUAGCCUUUUAAUGGACACUUCCUUUUGGCCUUUUUUUAGUUUCUCUAAUUAGGUAAAAUACUUCAAUGACUGAGAAUUUUUUAUUCCCUCCCUUUUUCAUUGUCUUUUUGAGUUUUGCUUUGUGGUGAGAGGAGGAUAGAGAUACCCAAUUGCCGUGGGGAUCAGAGAUUAGGUGAGGUCACAUUGUUUGUCUCGGCUUUACAAUGUGAGGUAAAGGAAGAAAAUAAAGUAAUGUUAGAAUAUUACAAUCAUAUAUCUAGACAUAUCUCUACUCCUAAUGGACCAGUUGGAAAAUAAAAGCCGGGAGAAGUAUGAAUCCGAACACGACCCCCUCCGUCCUCCUCCCGCGACGCGCGUCACGGGAGAAAUCCUAGCGCCGCUGCCGCCGGGACCCCCUCCUCCUCCCCUUCUCCCCUCCCCUGCCGCCGCCUGCGAGCAAGGCCGGGCAAAGCCCGGUCAGCUCUGGCGGUGUGUGUGUGUGUGGGGGGGGGGGGGGUCUUCCCUUCACCGUGUGGCCACGUGUGGCGCAGGAUGCCGUGGCCGGUGAAGGCGCGGUGCAAGCAGGGGGCACGGCGGCGUGGCAUCUGAGUCUGGGGCGGCGAUGCCUGGCCAGGUGCUCGUGCGGGUGGCUCUACGGCGGGGGUGGCUGCGAUGUUGCCGGCGGCUGCGUUUGUGCGCGCCCAGAUCUGGCAGCGGCUGCGCCCGCGGCUUGCGCUGGCUCAGCUGUUGCCUGGGUGGCUCGGCACGUGCGGGAGCUCGGCGGGCGGCGGCUUGGGUCGCCGCUGCACCUCGCCGUCCGGCUGUGUGGUUACUGGUGGUGGAUAGCGGUCGUUGGUGACAUUCAUCUUGUCCAGCCAUGGCGCAGGUCUGAGUGUGAGGCCAAUCCAGCCCCUGCUAAGCUUGAACAUGUCGCGACAUAGGGCUGGACCUUUCCCAGUGAUGGCCACAGUUGAGGGAUGGAUCCGACGCCGGGAGGGCCACGGAACCAUCCUUGCCUCCUGUUAGGUGGCGCACCGGGGAGCUCGUCCUUGCACGGCCUGGCAAGCCGGGGCGGUGGCGGCCGAGUACGGCCGGCCCGGGGGUGGGCCUCGGACCUAGGGACCAUCCAAGGGCAGGGAAGGAGGUGCCUUCCCGCCCGUCUCUUUGCCUUUCAUGGCUGCAAGCUUCGGUAGGGGAUGGUGUCGGGACCAUUGGUGUUGGGGCGGUGGCCCUGGAGGUGGGAGGCGUGGGCUCAUGGGCGGAGCUCACGGCUCGGGUGUGAGCUAGCUGCCGUGACCGUGCGGGGGGUGUGGUGGUCAGGGUGCGACAACCGGAGGGGUAGGUCCGGCGGGCCUGGUUUGUUGUGCGUCGCCUCUGGGGCUGUGAGGACUUCCCGGGGUGAAAACCUGCUUUGGCUCUGCCAAGCCGACGGUGACGUCGCCUAUGAUUACAACAGUUACAGUAGCUAACUAUUUAAAAUGCCCGUGGCAACGCACGGGCAUUCUACUAGGAAACUUGUUACAGUAGCUAACUACCCCAUGAUUACAACAGUAAAUAUUGAUAGGAGUACAAGCAUUGGAGGAGUACUCAGUACUCACCAUGUUCGACAAAGUCGUGGUGGUGGUGGUGGUUGAGGAAGUCGUAGGUAACGGCGGCAUCAUGACGGAGCAGGGACCAUCUUCUCCUCGAUUUAAGAAUAACAAGACUUUCAGCUCAUUCAAAUUGUUGUAGGGCACAUGCAUAUACUGUCUUUGAAGUACCAAGAAAACAGGAUAACACAUUGGAAACAAACAUCUAUGUAGCAAUCGCUUAUUCAGGUGCAGAGUAAAAAGCCAAUACACAAUAACGAACGGUGGUUUGAUUAAAGAUUAGUCGUCUGGAAAAAUAUACCUUGCCGUCGCUCAAGUUUUGCUUGGAGGUGGGUACGGUGGCCAAAUGUGUUGAGAAUCCACCCAAGUAAUCGGCCUGACGAUGCGGUGCUUAGAGGGGAGGGAGUAGAUCUUGCAGGCGAAAUUGUCCAUAGGCUUGAGGCGGCCGUGUCCCCGUGACAAGUCGGUCGGCUGUGUCCCCAUUUAUAUGAUCACGUAAAUCACUGGUUGGUAUUCUAAAGAUAUUAACUUCGACAUGCAAAUCAUCGGUUGGUAUUUCAACGAGUCCGGACAGUUGAAUACUUGAUCAUCAUUACUUGUAUUAUUUCUUUGUAAUAACAUCAAAGAUAAUGAUCAGUGAUAGUGUAUUCAUCUACCUAAUUGCUUUAUCAGUUUGCACGGUGAGUAUUUUAUAAUGCAUAUUCUUACAUAUUGCACAUAAUAGCCUCAUGCUAACAACAUAUAUUGCUCGUGUGGGAUAGUUACAAUCUUUGUACACUUGCUUAAAUACCAUGUGAAUUACGCCAAAGACAACAUAUCUAAGUUAUACAUGAAUUUCUUAAGCGUGUCAAAGUAGAUAUGUUACAUUACUUAGCUGAAUCAUUGUUUUCUAUACUUUAUACAAGCACGGCCUGUUAUAACAUUUUGGCCAUCGUGAGUGGCCCAAAUUUUGGGGAGCCUGAGCUGGUUGCAUGGUUAGAUUUUGCGGAGUCUAUUGGGCGCCACUUGGAUGUAUGAGUGACAGACACCGUGGGAAUGAAGCUAAAGACAACUUUCCUGAUAUUGUUAAAGAAUUUCUUAAGUGCAUCAUCUAGAUAUUGAUAAUUUUGUAAUAGAUGUUUAGAUGGAACAUCGCUCAGUUUGUUACAUGGACAUGUCGUUAGUCUUUCUUUUUGUUAUCAAUUUUCAUUGCAAAAUGGACUUCAAUUGUUCAGUAAUUGCGUUUGUGUUAUAUUGUUUGUGCAUGUGAAAUUUAACAUGUAACUCUUCUAAACUUUUUCAAGAGCCCGUGACAACGCACGGGCAUCUUCACGCUCACACCCAAGUUCAAUCAUCUACACAUGGAGUAGUGCAAGUGAGUGGUCUUUACCAUGCCCGAAUCGACAAGAGGUAGUGGCAUCAGGAGCUGCAUCGUCCAGGAGCAGCAGCAGCCUUUCCAAUCGCUCCUUGCGCCUUGCCUUUCCAAUCUACUCACGCGGCAGAGAGCAGUUCUUGGCCACAGUACAUCUGCAUCCCUGUUCCAUCCAGAGCAACAAUCACAAUCAGCUCUAGAAUCUCUCCUUGCCUUUCCCCAAAUCAUAGGCUCCAAAGAUUGGAAAGAUGUGGGGAAAAUUAAGGAUGCAAACCUUGCAGGUCGAGCGUGGGGAGCUCGACUUCGGGGGCGACCUAGGAGCAGGUGACGACGAACUCGUCGAAGCGAUGGAGGACCAGCAGCGUUUGGGAUGGCAGCGUCCAACACGACGCUCCUCCUUGCAGGUCGAUGGCGACGAGGAGCGCCAGCGUCCGUCGCCGCCGUCGUCCAGCAGAACAAGGCCGCCGUGCCCGCGCUCGUCAGGCUCCAACUCGACCUCACUAAAACAACCAACUUUGGCUCGACCGUGAUGCAGAGGAUGCGGGCGAGAGGAAGAGGCGACGCGGACGAGAAUGUGAGGAGGCGACGCUUGGGGAGAAGGGCGGCGACGCGGCUGAGUCGCCAGCACAGCUGAGGGGGAGGUGCACCGCCGACGCAGGUGAGGGGGAGGCGCGUCGCCGCCGUGGGCUAGGGAUUUAGGGGAGUGGGUGAGCGAGGAGAAUGAGCGUGAAGAUGGGACUGAGCGAGUGGGUGAGUGAGUGAGUAAGCGAGGGGUAAAGCUGGAAACCACAGGAAGUAACUUUUUCGAGAAAUGUACUACAAGAACCAUCAAUAUUCAAAAUACAAGCAUUUAUUUUUAUUAUCACUAUUUUAAAAUAAUACUAAUUUAGGAAAUUGCAGGAUGUGUCUGGCUAUUAUUAUUUUUAUACUCUGGUGGAAUGGUAAAGAAUUACUUCGUCCGGUUAGUACCAUGAGUAUUUUCCGUUGCACAUUUUAAGACCUUCAACAUGAAGUAUUCUUGUUACACGUUGCUUGUGUAAGAUGUGUAUAAGCUGAGGAAGAAUGCUUUAUUAUAUUUGCUCAAAUAUUGUGCGAAUGAAACUGAAGACAACAUUCUUGAUAUUGUGUGAGAAUUUCUUAAGCAUAACAACUAGAUAUUAAUUUGUAAUAGAAUUUUAGUUGGAUCAUCACUAUAUGUAGAUAUCAUUAAUUUAUCAUUUUUUAUCAAUCUACAUUGUAAGUGAAUUGGACUUCAAUAAAUACCCAACUUUGCCCGUGCUAUCUUGUCUCUACAUGUAAAAUUUGACAUGCAUUAUGUUUACAUAAUUCUAGCAAAAUAUUUUCGUAGCAAAUGGCAAGGCACCCACAUUCCCGUGAUAUCUUAUCUCUACAUGUGAAAUUAAACACGCAUU